AUUGAACGCUGGCGGGAUGCUUUACACAUGCAAGUCGAACGAGUGGCGGACGGGUGAGUAAUAUAUCGGAACGUGCCCAGUAGCGGGGGAUAACUACUCGAAAGAGUGGCUAAUACCGUAUACUAUUGGAGCCGCCGAUAUGGGAUUAGCUAGUUGGUGGGGUAAAGGCUCACCAAGGCAACGAUCCGUAGCUGGUUUGAGAGGACGACCAGCCACACGUGGACUGAGACACGGCCCAGAGUCCUACGGGAGGCAGCAGUGGGGAAUUUUGGACAAUGGGGGAAACCCUGAUCCAGCCAUCCCGCGUGUAUGAGAAGGCCUUCGGGUUGUAAAGUACUUUCAGUGGGGAGGCGUUACCGACAGAAGAAGCACCGGCUAACUCCGUGCCAGCAGCCGCGGUAAUAC
rnacentral:rRNA from 1 species